GACGAACGCUGGCGGCGUGCUUAACACAUGCAAGUCGAACGGUAAGGCCCUUCGGGGUACACGAGUGGCGAACGGGUGAGUAACACGUGGGUGAUCUGCCCUGCACUUCGGGAUAAGCCUGGGAAACUGGGUCUAAUACCGGAUAGGACCACUGCCUGCAUGGGUGGGGGUGGAAAGCUUUGCAGUGUGGGAUGGGCCCGCGGCCUAUCAGCUUGUUGGUGGGGUGAUGGCCUACCAAGGCGACGACGGGUAGCCGGCCUGAGAGGGUGACCGGCCACACUGGGACUGAGGUACGGCCCAGACUCCUACGGGAGGCAGCAGUGGGGAAUAUUGCACAAUGGGCGCAAGCCUGAUGCAGCGACGCCGCGUGAGGGAUGACGGCCUUCGGGUUGUAAACCUCUUUCAGCACCGACGAAGCGCAAGUGACGGUAGGUGCAGAAGAAGGACCGGCCAACUACGUGCCAGCCGCCGCGGUAAAAC
rnacentral:rRNA from 1 species